CAAAUCUGUUCGGAUUCCGUAUAUGGCCGUUGGUAGGGUACAAUUUCCCUUCGUUUCCAUUCCUGUCUCUCGAUUUCCCUGCAUAAGUGCGUGUUGAGGUAUUCGGAGUAUCGAGGUCUUGUUAAUCUCCGGGGGACAUAAGGGUCAAUUAUCACCUCAGCAGCUUCAUGAUUUGGGUGCGUUCUCAUACGGUCAACAUAUCUCCUACAAGCUUUAACAUAAACCUCAUCCACCGUCUCAACGCCUAGGUCCCGGUGGAUGGUAUCGUUACGAACAUACCAUGGGGCGUUGGUAAUUGUCCGUAGCGUUUUGUUUUGUUCUGUUUGUAUGCGUCCAAACUCGAGAUUAGAGGCAAGGGGUCCCCAAACAGGCAGUGUAUACUGCCAGAUAGGUGCAAUAAUUUGCUUAUAUAGAGUAACCCUUGCAUUUAGGCAUAGCUUGCUGUUGCUGUUCAGCAGCCAGUGGAGUUUUUUGACUCUAGCUUUGAUUUUAGUCAGAGUUGCCGUGAUGUGGUGAUGGCAUUGCAGCUUAGUAUCAAGACGCACUCCGAGAUAGGGGUGAAAUGUGACAGUUUGUAGGCUUUUUCCAGCAAUAUUGGGAAUGAAUAUACCCUCAGGCUCCAGGGUAUUUCGGAGUGUAUGGAAGACGUGCACAGUUUUAGAGGCAUUGAUAGUGAUGCCCCAUUUUAUGGCCCAGACAGAUAUUCUGCUUAGGAACCGGUUCAAGCUGGAGAUGGCUACGCGCUGGGUACAGCCCCUGGCUAAAAUGGCUGUGUCAUCUGCAUAGGUUGCCAGCAACAUAUUUGGGUCACAUGGGGUGGGCAUAUCAGCCGUAUAUAAAUUGUACAGGACAGGCCCUAGUACACUACCUUGGGGGACACCAGCCAAGACAACCUUUUCUCCGGAUUUGACUCCUCCUGUGCAUUCUACCGUAAAGGUGCGUCCGUCCAAAUAACUGCUGAGGCAUCUGUAUAGUGCCGUCGGAAGCAGCUGUCUCAUUUUGAAUUUCAGUCCAGUAUGCCAGACCCUGUCGAAAGCCUCUUGAAUGUCCAUAUAAACUGCCGAACAAAUCAUAUUCUUCUCGUAUGUUUCCAAGAUGAAUUUGGUCACCCUUCCAAUUUGCUGUUCAGCUGCAUGCUCAUGCCUAAAACCAAACUGAUGAUUAGGGAUUGCACCUAUAAAUCCGUCCGCUUCCAUCAUCCUAGUUAGUAGGAGACGCUCGAAUAGUUUGGACAGCCCUGAGAGCAGGCUGAUGGGUCUAUAUGAGGCCAGUUUGUCCGCUGGCUUGCCGGGUUUUGGGAUCAUUGAAACAACCGCUCGUUUCCACAGGCUCGGGAAACAGCCAAAUCGAAGCGAACUGUUGCAAAUCAUGACAAUGUAAAGCAAGGCAGUCUUGGGAAGCAAUUUUAUUGUCUGAUUGUCAAUAUUGUCCUCUCCGGGGGAUUUCCUCAGCUUCAGGUCCUUGAUCUGGGUCACUAUUUCAGCCAAAGUUAUUGGUCUGAAAGUAUGGUUGGGUGUGUGUGGGUCCAUCAAGUCUACAGACUCCUCAACUGAUUGUCUCUCCUCCUCAGUAUUUGAAAGUAAAGGCUUGAACCUCUGCUCAAGGUGAAGAGCGAAAGAUUCAGCCUUUUCCUCCGUACUUUUGCACCACGGGUCCGCAGUAUCCUCCUGUCCAUCCUCAACGAAACUUCUCACAGGCAGAUUAGCAGGAGGUUGUCUUUUCAGACCAUUAGUCAGCCUCCAUAGUUUUUGCAUGCUAUAUCUGUCUGUGGGAUCGAUUGCACCCAGCUGAGCGUCAAUUCGCCUAGAUUUUGCUGCCUCAAUCUCUUUGUGGAUCCUGUUUGCCAAAAUGUUAUGCAACUGCUGCGCAACUGGGUCGCGCCUUUUCGUUAGAAACUUACGCAAACGUCUCUUAGUGUCAAUCAUGAGUCGAACACGGUUAGUCAGGGGCACCUCUGCCUGCAAUCUGGGUCGGACGGGCCUCCUUAAGUUGCUACUAGCGAGCUCAGCAGCUUUAAUGAUAUUAUUCUGCAGGAUUUGUGCAGCAUCAUUGACAUCGUCAGUCGAUCUAAGCUCAGUGUUUAGGUGAAUAUGUGUAUCAAGCCAGUUUUGAAACACCGAUACAUUAGAGCCUGCCGGCAGUAGGCGUCUUUUCAUCAUAAUCUCCGCUGGAGACUCGCGUAAAUUAAUAACCAUGGGCAAAUGGUCCGAUGAGAGCUCACUUUGGCCGAAAAUACUGAGUAAAUCAUCGCGAAUUCCUUUGUAGACGGCGAAGUCGAUCGCUGAGGGGGAAUGAUUGUUGUUGUAGGGGAAAUGUGUUGGCGAACCUGUAGCCAGAAUGUUACAGCUGCUAGUCUGAAUUGAUCUGAGCAAGGUGCCUCCUCUCUUACAUGCCCUUGGGUUUCCCCACCAUGAAUUUUUGGCAUUCCAAUCGCCAGCAGCAACAAAAUUCCUUCCAAAUUGUUCGAAUAUGUCUGUAAAUCCCUUCUCCGUCCAAUCCUGCUGUGGUGGGCAGUAGAUAGACCAAAUACUGACUCGCGUGCUACCUUUUAAUGUCACAUGAACUCCAGCAGCCUGGAUGUAGUCCGUUGAUAUGCUUGGCAGCGCCAUAUGGGGGAUUGAAGAUCGAAUAAGUAGUAAGGUGCCUCCUCGACUUAACCCAGAUGGAUGGUGGGCAGUAUAUGUGCAGUAUCCGUGUACACUGAAGGCCUCUGAGUUUUUAAAAUGAGACUCAGAGACCAUCAUAAUGUCCACUUCAUGCCUGCACAUAUAUUGUUCAAGCUCCGCAGUCUUACCUCGGAGCCCCGAGGCGUUCCAAAAUGUGAUUUUGAAACGGUCAUCACUACGACGAGGAGAAUUCCCGGUAAGUGAUCUAUACAUUUGAGGCCAAAGUAUUGGCCUGAAUUGUGGCGAUCAAACAUUCCGUUAACUUAGUCAUUUGAUUCAAUAACUGAUCCAUUUUUCUUUCCAGUUCUCGAGCAGGUUCGGCCGGCGCUGGCUGUGUCCGCUCCUGGGUUAGCAAGGUGAUGAGAGUGUCCAACUUCCGACUUAGUUCGAUAGAGUGCACAGACUGACUGCUCAACCCGGGGUGUGGGACAGCCCCUGCGGCCCGUAUAUCAUCAGUUGGAGCAAUAUGCCACCCCUGUUGCCUGGCAGGCAGAGGCUGGGAUAGAGUCUGCUGCUGGCCAUUACGCACUGCUGAUGCAUAACUCCCCUGAAGCACAGGUGGAGUUGGAAUUAAAGCACCUGAGCGCGCACGACGGCGGCCAGGCUGCUGCAAAUCUGGAAAGGCCUGCUGGUUCACUUUGGGUGGCUGGCGGGGUCGUCGCAAGCCCAUUGCGGCGGGUAAGGUAGGCAUAUUGAGUCUAGAUAACAUGUUAUUCGUUUUGACUAACCCAUUUUCUCUCUUCUUGCAGUACUCUUUGUAUUUAAUACAACCACGAUAGUUGGCUACGUGGGCACCGCCGCAGUUGGCACAUUUCGGAGUCUCCUCCCGCUUUUUUGGGCAAUCCUUGGGCUCGUGUUUGUCGCCACACUUUACGCAAAUUACUGCACGGCUGCAAUAAUUCUUUGUAUGCCCAAACAUCUGACACUUAUGGCAUUGUGGCACGCCAGGAGACCGAAUCGGCUUUUCAACUUUAACAACCUGACUGCAAAUAGCUGUUACAUUGAAUAUUGCCAGAUUAUUGGCUUGAGGUUCUAGCUCUAUCUCAAAUAGGUCUAAUGGUUCCUUGGUGAACCGCUUAUAUAUAUUAGAGAUAUGCCUAACAAUAUGUCCCAUUGAUUUAAGCUGUUCGCACACCCAGGCUGUGGGUGUCGAACGAUGUAAAUGUCGUAUUACAACGCGCAAUCCCUUUUCGCUCCUCAAGCGAAAUGUAUGGAAGUCUACACCCUGUCCGUCUGCUUCUUUUGCACUGAGCAUUUGUACAAGCUUUCUGUGUCCGUCAACUGUAUGACAGGUCACCUUCAGGCAUCCGUUUGCAGUGGGUUUCGUAUCAUACGAACCCACUCCAAUAGCUGCAUCAAUUCCCUGCAGCAAGGGGACAAUUUCCCUUACAUUAGGGAUGUAGAUGGGGGCCGGUCGCACCGUUUUGGCGCCUGCAGAAGUUGUUGCAUUUUGGGCAGAGAUAUUGCCAGGUUCAGGGGCAGUUCUGACUGGGCCAGAGGGCCUGGUCUUGGAGGCAGGUGCCUCCAGCUCUGAUUCUCCCUCGCUGGAGUAAUCAAUAGCCAUCGCUUCAUUGUCCGAUAGUAUCUCGAAGUAAUUUCUCGAGCUAGGGGUAGAAGUAGCAUUAACCUUGGGUCUGGUCCGUUGUGCUGUUUUGGAGAGGAUAGUAGCUGCUUUCUUCGCAGAUGGCUUAGCUAUAGAAGAGCCCUGAGUAGUUCUGCUGUUCUGCUUUAUUCUCCUAGCCUCAGACUCGGCUCGGAGUUUUGCACUAAGCUGCAGUUCAACUGCAUUUUUGGACUGCUGCUCUUUAAGCAGCUCCGUCAGAGUAGCCUGUCUCAGAGUCUUAGUAUUCGUACUCACUUUGGUUGAAGCUGCAGCAGCAGCAGAAUUAAUUGAAUUAAUUGUUACCAUGGCGGCGGGGGGGGGCAUAGACAAGGCAGCUGCUGCUGCUGAUGUAGAGGGCAUAUCGCUGGUUAAGUCAGCUAGUGAGGCAGAUCUUCUAGUCAUCAAUUCAUUACUCGCAAUUUGCGGGGCAAUAUUUCCUGCAUUGGAGAUCAUUAUUUCUCCAGUGCUCCAGUUCACAACGCUAUUUUCGUUGUCCGAUGAGGCUGCACUCGAAGCAGCAUUGGUCUUUUUGGACUUUGGGCCAGGUUUCCGAACCAUUUUGAAUUGUUUUUAUUGUUUUUAAUUGUUUUGCUAUGUAAGCAAACGUCACUGACAGGUGGGGGGGAGCAGCAGAGGCUGCGGCCUUCCCCACGUUUUUUCACUUUUCAACAAUAGGUUAUGUCGAAAAUUUUCAGCACAAUUUUAAUACUUCGGCACAAUAAUUUAUAUUGGCCGAAAAGUUAUUUUAAACUGAAGCACAGGUCACUAUUACACCAUGUGCAAUUUUUCAGCAAUUUACAGCAAUUAUUUGCCUAUUAAAUUUAAUUUUCUUCGGGAGCUUUUGUUUUUUUUGUUAAUCGCAUGCAUCGGCGGCAGUGCGAGAAUG
rnacentral:lncRNA from 1 species